CAGUCGCCGCGGUAAUACGAAGGGGGCUAGCGUUGUUCGGAUUUACUGGGCGUAAAGCGCACGUAGGCGGAUCGAUCAGUCAGGGGUGAAAUCCCAGAGCUCAACUCUGGAACUGCCUUUGAUACUGUCGAUCUGGAGUAUGGAAGAGGUGAGUGGAAUUCCGAGUGUAGAGGUGAAAUUCGUAGAUAUUCGGAGGAACACCAGUGGCGAAGGCGGCUCACUGGUCCAUUACUGACGCUGAGGUGCGAAAGCGUGGGGAGCAAACAGGAUUAGAUACCCCGGUAGUCCCUGUCUCUUAUAC
rnacentral:rRNA from 1 species